UACGUAGGGCGCAAGCGUUGUCCGGAAUUAUUGGGCGUAAAGAGCUCGUAGGCGGCUUGUCACGUCGGAUGUGAAAGCCCGGGGCUUAACUCCGGGUCUGCAUUCGAUACGGGCUAGCUAGAGUGUGGUAGGGGAGAUCGGAAUUCCUGGUGUAGCGGUGAAAUGCGCAGAUAUCAGGAGGAACACCAAUGGCGAAGGCAGAUCUCUGGGCCGUAACUGACGCUGAGGAGCGAAAGCAUGGGGAGCGAACAGG
rnacentral:rRNA from 1 species